rnacentral:rRNA from 1 species
CCUACGGGUGGCUGCAGUCGAGAAUCAUUCACAAUGGGGGAAACCCUGAUGGUGCGACGCCGCGUGGGGGAAUGAAGGUCUUCGGAUUGUAAACCCCUGUCAUGUGGGAGCAAAUUAAAAAGAUAGUACCACAAGAGGAAGAGACGGCUAACUCUGUGCCAGCAGCCGCGGUAAUACAGAGGUCUCAAGCGUUGUUCGGAAUCACUGGGCGUAAAGCGUGCGUAGGCUGUUUCGUAAGUCGUGUGUGAAAGUCGCGGGCUCAACCCGCGGACGGCACAUGAUAAUGCGAGACUAGAGUAAGGGAGGGGGAACCGGAAUUCUCGGUGUAGCAGUGAAAUGCGUAGAUAUCGAGAGGAACACUCGUGGCGAAGGCGGGUUCCUGGACAUUAACUGACGCUGAGGCACGAAGGCCAGGGGAGCGAAAGGGAUUAGAUACCCGGGUAGUC